rnacentral:lncRNA from 1 species
AGAUUUUUGCAGUUUUUGGCUUUUAGAAUAUACUUUUUUCCGGGUCCGUAACAUAUCUGUAAGCACUCAGAAAGCUUCUGGUCCUGAGCCCUGUGUACUCAGGGGAUGAAUCCGCUCUCCUCAAGGACAACAGGGAAAUCAACCCACAAGCCACGGAAGAACAACCCGGUUUUAUGUACCAUGGAGCUCAGGUUCCAGUCUUACCCCCACACUGCUGCUCACUGUUCCCAGCAAUCGCUGGCCACUGUCCCAAGACAUCUGAGCCCUGGGCACCAACCUGUCACCUCCCGGAUCUCUGGGUCCAGGACGGACAGGAGGCCUGCAGGGAGCUGGAGACCACACUGGACCGAGAGAAGACGAAAGGGUGGCUGCCCGUGGCCAGAAGAACGGGAGGAAACGGAACGAAGGGUCACCCACACUUGGUCUACGCUUUGCUGAGACAUGAUUGACGUGUGCCUCGUUAUUUUUUCUAAUUGUUUUUUAAUGUUUUUUUUAUUUUUUUUAAUUUAUUAAAAAAAAAUUUUUUUUUACGUUUAUUUAUUUUUGAGACAGAGAGAGAGCAUGAACAGGGGAGGGUCAGAGAGAGAGGGAGACACAGAAUCGGAAACAGGCUCCAGGCUCUGAGCCAUCAGCACAGAGCCCGAUGCGGGGCUUGAACUCACGGACUGCGAGAUCAUGACCUGAGCUGAAGUCGGUCGCCCAACCGACUGAGCCACCCAGGCACCCCUAAUGUUUUUAUUUUUGACACAGAGAGAGAGGCAGAGUGCAAGCGGGGGAGGGGCAGAGAGAGAGGGAGACACAGAAUCGGAAGCGGGCUCCAGGCUCCGAGCUGCGGAUGCUGGGCUCGAACUCAUGAGCUGUGAGAUCAUGACCUGAGCCGAAGUCUGACGCUCAACCGCCUGAGCCACCCAGGCACCCCGCCUCAUUAUUUUUGGUGGAGACAAGAAUCCACCUACCUAGGGACGCUGAGGGCACAGGUGCUCUUUCCCCGUGUCCCUUCCAGCUAGGACGAGAGCACGUGACUGGGGUUCAG